rnacentral:rRNA from 1 species
AGCGAACGCUGGCGGCAGGCCUAACACAUGCAAGUCGAACGAACCUUUCGGGGUUAGUGGCGGACGGGUGAGUAACACGUGGGAACGUGCCUUUAGGUUCGGAAUAACUCAGGGAAACUUGUGCUAAUACCGAAUGUGCCCUUCGGGGGAAAGAUUAAUAGCCGUUAGAGCGGCCCGCGUCUGAUUAGCUAGUUGGUUGAGGUAAUGGCUCACCAAGGCGACGAUCAGUAGCUGGUCUGAGAGGAUGAUCAGCCACAUUGGGACGGAGACACGGCCCAAAAUCCUACGGGAGGGAGCAGUGGGGAAUCUUGCGCAAUGGGCGGAAGGCUGACGCAGCCAUGCCGGGUGAAUGAUGAAGGUCUUAGGGUUGUAAAGUUCUUUCACCGGGGACGAUAAUGACGGUACCCGGAGAAGAAGCCCCGGCUAACUUCGUG